rnacentral:rRNA from 1 species
UACGUAGGGUGCAAGCGUUAAUCGGAAUUACUGGGCGUAAAGCGUGCGCAGGCGGUUUUGUAAGUUUGUCGUGAAAGCCCCGGGCUCAACCUGGGAAUUGCGAUGAAGACUGCAAGGCUUGAAUCUGGCAGAGGGGGGUAGAAUUCCACGUGUAGCGGUGGAAUGCGUAGAGAUCGGGAAGAAUACCUGUGGCGAAGGCGGCCAGCUGGGCCAGAUCCGACACUGAGGCGCGAAAGCGUGGGGAGCAAACAGG